GGGGGCCGAGGACCUGCAGCAUUAACAACCCUGGCAUAAAGCUCCGCUUUCGUCCUUGUCUGCGGUCGGGUAUUUUCCUCAGGCUCAUACUUCUACUAUGGCUGUAGACUCCAGAGCUGGAAAGGAAGACAGACUUUCUUUAAGGCAAGGGUCUGUCUCCCUGCCUAAGAAAGACAAGUGAAAUAAUACUGCAGUGCCUGCACUUCAAGAGGCCUCAGCUUCCUGCUCCAGCCACCAUGUCUACUGCUUGCUUCCACACGUCCUCAUUUUGAUGGACACUCACCCCACUGCAACUGUAACCCAAUUAAAAU